AUAAAGUUUGAUUCUGGCUUUUAAGUUGACUUAUUCAUUGAUCUGCAUGGUUAAUUAUUAAAUUGGUUUUGUUGUUCCAGUAGUAAAAAUUAAAUUUAUAUUAUAAAUUUUGAUUUAGGAAUUGAAUAAAAUUAAAAGUAGAUUAAUAUUUGUGCCAGCAUUCGCGGUUAGACAAUUUAUUUAAGUUAAUUUUGUUAUUGUUUAAAUUUAAUUUUUUAUCUUGUUUUAAUAUGAGGUUAUUUAGGUGGAAUUUAUAAUUGAAUUAGAAAAUCUAUUAGAUUAAUUUUAAGAUAUUUUAUUAAUAAACUAGGAUUAGAUACCCUAUUAUUUUUUAUUGUAAAUUUUUUUAGAAUGGUAUUAGUUAUGAUCUUUAAAGCUCAAAGAAUUUGGCGGUGAAAUAUCCAGUUAGAGGAAUCUGUAUAUAUUAAUUGAUAUUCCACAAUAGUUUAUACCUUUAAUUCUAUUUGUAUACCGCUAUAUCAUAGAGUGUUAUUUAAGUAAACUCUCUUUAAUUAAUUUAAUUUUAUAUUAGGUCAAGGUGCAGUUUUUAAAAGGAUUGUAUGGAUUACUUUUGUUAUAAGUUUUAGGAUUUUAAUUUUUUUUAGAUUAAUUUGAAUUAGGAUUUAAUAGUAAGUUUUUAAAUUAAUUAAUUUAACUGAAUAUAUUGCAAUGUUUUAUGCACAUAUUGCCCGUCACUCCUAAUUAAGUUAGGAUAAGUCGUAACAAAGUAAUUUUACCGGAAGGUGAGGUUAGAAAUAAUAA
rnacentral:ncRNA from 1 species